rnacentral:rRNA from 1 species
GAUGAACGCUGGCGGCGUGCCUAAUACAUGCAAGUCGAGCGAACAGACGAGGAGCUUGCUCCUCUGACGUUAGCGGCGGACGGGUGAGUAACACGUGGAUAACCUACCUAUAAGACUGGGAUAACUUCGGGAAACCGGAGCUAAUACCGGAUAAUAUAUUGAACCGCAGGGUUCAAUAGUGAAAGACGGUUUUGCUGUCACUUAUAGAUGGUUCCGCGCCGCAUUAGCUAGUUGGUAAGGUAACGGCUUACCAAGGCAACGAUGCGUAGCCGACCUGAGAGGGGGAUCGGCCACUCUGGAACUGAGACACGGUCCAGACUCCUACGGGAGGCAGCAGUAGGUACUCUUCCGCAAUGGGCGAAAGCCUGACGGAGCAACGCAGCGUGAGUGAUGCAGGUCUUCGGAUCGUAAAACUCUGUUAUUAGGGAAGAACAAAUGUGUAAGUAACUAUGCACGUCUUGCCGGUACCUAAUCAGAAAGCCCCGCCUACCUCCGU